ACACAUGCAGUCGAACGAGCGAGAGAGAGCUUGCUUUCUUGAGCGAGUGGCGAACGGGUGAGUAACGCGUGAGGAACCUGCCUCAAAGAGGGGGACAACAGUUGGAAACGACUGCUAAUACCGCAUAAGCCCACGACCCGGCAUCGGGUAGAGGGAAAAGGAGCAAUCCGCUUUGAGAUGGCCUCGCGUCCGAUUAGCUAGUUGGUGAGGUAACGGCCCACCAAGGCGACGAUCGGUAGCCGGACUGAGAGGUUGAACGGCCACAUUGGGACUGAGACACGGCCCAGACUCCUACGGGAGGCAGCAGUGGGGAAUAUUGCACAAUGGGGGAAACCCUGAUGCAGCGACGCCGCGUGGAGGAAGAAGGUCUUCGGAUUGUAAACUCCUGUUGUUGAGGAAGAUAAUGACGGUACUCAACAAGGAAGUGACGGCUAACUACGUGCCAGCAGCCGCGGUAAAACGUAGGUCACAAGCGUUGUCCGGAAUUACUGGGUGUAAAGGGAGCGCAGGCGGGAAGACAAGUUGGAAGUGAAAUCCAUGGGCUCAACCCAUGAACUGCUUUCAAAACUGUUUUUCUUGAGUAGUGCAGAGGUAGGCGGAAUUCCCGGUGUAGCGGUGGAAUGCGUAGAUAUCGGGAGGAACACCAGUGGCGAAGGCGGCCUACUGGGCACCAACUGACGCUGAGGCUCGAAAGUGUGGGUAGCAAACAGGAUUAGAUACCCUGGUAGUCCACACUGUAAACGAUGAUUACUAGGUGUUGGAGGAUUGACCCCUUCAGUGCCGCAGUUAACACAAUAAGUAAUCCACCUGGGGAGUACGACCGCAAGGUUGAAACUCAAAGGAAUUGACGGGGGCCCGCA
rnacentral:rRNA from 1 species